CUUUAGUGAGUACAAGUGAAUGAUUUAGUACAAAUGACAUUAGGAAAUAUUGUGAGAGAAUGAUCUCUAGUUAUAGAAGAGAGUUUCUAGUUUCAUUCUGACAUUUUGUGAUUGGCUUCUGAUGUUGACACGUGUCACGCUAUGAUUGGUUUCUGAUGUCAACACGUGUCGCGCUGUGAUUGGCCUCCUGGUUGGAGGAAAACUCUUCUGGGUCCUUGACGGUAUAACGUUAACCGGUGCUUAGUAGUUUCGGGAUUGGUCAAGUAUGGUACAAACAAAAAAUAUUAUAUCCAUUGAUAAAUUUGAGUUUAUGAUGCAUGAAUUGUAGUGUUGUUUGCAAUUUCAAGAUGAACAAAUUUUACUCUCAUUUAAUUCAAUUUCAACAAUCUUUGUCCUAAUUAGAUUUUCAGGGUUGUUUUAAAUUCAUUGAUUUGAAAUUACAUAAGUUAUCUCAUCUCCAUAACAACAGUCAAUAGGCCUUUCCAUUUCUUCCCAUUUCAUUCAACUCUUUCUUCAAAUAAAACGACAUUAUGUAUGUGUAAGUUGUGAAGGUAAAACAAGAAAGCACUCAUUUACUUGUUUUUUGAAAAUUUAAAGGCUGAUGAGUUCAAACUUGAUAAUCACCCACAACUGACAACCUUUUAUAAGAUGUAAGAGCUAAAUGUACCAGGUAUUCCUUUUAUUAAAGAAAAUGAAGCUAGUGAGGAGCUCUGAUUGUUAGGACAUUUCUCUCCAACCCAUUACAUGUCGAGUUAAUUAGUCUUCUUCUUCAUCUCUUCAUUCAUCUUCAUCUUACCUUUUAGCUUAAUAGUAAAAGACUCCACGGUGUGGAAAACUCAAAUAAGUACCAUGUAACUUUUAUGGAACCAAGAACAUCAAAUCAAUCCCCAAACAUAAUUAAAACUAGAUUGUGCAAUAAAAUUUAGAGUGUGGUAGUUAGAAUUAUAGCACAUGUGUGAUUAUGUAAAUCCUAAUAUAUUGUGUUUAGGAUUCCUAUGUAAUCUAGAAGAUCUUAGCUUUCUUAUUAUUUGUAGGGCAAGUAAGCCCCUUAUGUUUACUAUAAAUAAAGGCACAAGAUAAGGAGAAAUAACAUACUAAAUUUCAU
rnacentral:lncRNA from 1 species